CUUUCUGCAAACGAGACUUGGAGACAAAAACAGGGUUUGAACCUCGCUGCUGGGGUUUCCACGGUGGCUCCACUCUGCCGCCCUUCCCAUUGGCUAGCCGGCCUGCUCUGGCCUUAGCAACAGAGGCUCGGAUACCCGGCUCUCUCCUGGUUGGCCAGGCGGUGCUGCGGCGCCAUGGCAACAGAGGCAGGGGGACCAGUCUCUGCAGGAUGGCUUGAGUCACUGUCUACCUGAGCUCGGCUGGGAUCCAGAAGGCGGCUCGAAGAAGGUGGCAGAGGGAACAGGUAGCCCCCACCUAAGCUCAGAAUCAGGUGGGGGAGGCUCCUCCCCCGCUGCCUGGUUGGUGGGGGUAGUGGGGGAAGGGGAGGCUUGGUACACUGAUGGCUCUAUCCUGUAUCUGCCAGCCUCUUCCCAGGCCUUCUCUUGUCUCUGUCUCCUGUAGAGGAAAAACCACACCUCCGGCAAUGCCAGGGGUUAAUUCACUUACUCAGAGUUAUGCAAGUUGCAAGCCAGGAUCUGAUUCCACAUUAUACUGCCUGACUUAAAGACUUCAUUCACUGGGGUCCUUGCUCGAGGAUCCAGGGGUCCUUUCCUUUUUUUUUUUAAUUAAUUUAUUUGAAAGGCAGAGCUACAGAGAGGCAGUGGCAGAGGCACAGAGAGAGAGGUCUUCCAUCUGCUGGUUCACUCUCCAAAUGGCCGCCAUAAUGGCUGAAGCUGGACUGAUCUGAAGCCAGGAGCCAAGAGCUUCUUCCAGGUGUCCCACAUGCGUGCACUUGGGCCAUCCUCCACUGCUUUCCCAGGUGCAUUAGCAGGGAGCUGGAUCAGAAGUGGAGCAGCCGGGAGGGGAACUGGCACCCACAUGGGGUGCCGGCACUGCAGGCGGCAGCUUUACCUGCUAUGCCAUAGCACUGGCCCCUCCUUCCAUUUUUAAUGGCUACCCCAACCCCCACUCCCACCAUUCUGUUGGUCUAGCAGUGAAUGCUUUUCAAAAAAGCUCCGUCAAUAUCAUUGGAUCAUCUCAACAACCCUGUGAGUUUGGUGCCUGCAGCAGCCAGGGCUGGGCCAGGUCGAAGUCAGGAGCAACGAAUUCAAUCCGGGUCUCCCACAUGGGCAGCAGGGACCUGAGUACUUGAGCCAUCACCUGCUGCCUUCCAAGGUGAGCAUUAGGAGGAAGCUGGAGCGGGAGAUGGAGCCGAGAGUUGAACCAGGUGCUCUGUGAUGGAUGCAUGUGUCCCGGGCAGCCAAACACCCAGCGCUCACAGUCGUUUUAACACUGCUUCUGUGUGCUUGCGGCUGUGUUGAAUAUGCACCACCUCGCUGAAUUCUCAUCACCACUUGAGGAGUCAGGUCCUUGCUGUCCAUUUAUGCUCAUAGCUGCAGAAACAGGUGCUCAGGAAGGUUAAGCGGCAUGCCCAAGGUCGCACAGCAGCAAAGCCCGAAUUCCAGCACGAGGCCGCCUGACUUCAAACCACAGCGAUGCUCUCUCUGCUCCCGGGCGACUCAAAGAGGCUCUGAGAGCUGAUCGCUCAGGUGCUGGGGAGAGGGCAGGGAGCAAAUCAUUAUGGUUCCUGCUCUCAUGACAGCUGGAGCUUAGUGGAAGAGAUGGACAGGAAGUCCACAAGUGGAGACAGCAUGAGUCCAAAUGGACAAGGAUAAUGGGUGGGCAGUGGCUGGAGGGGAGGUGGGGGGUGCGGCAGAGGAGGUUGUGUUACCCAGGAUGGUCGCGACAGGCAUUUCUGGAGAGGAUGACUCAGCAGACACCCCAGUGGGGAGGAGGCGGUCUUGUCAGCUGUCCGUGGCCAGAGCUGAUGCUGUGGACACCGGCGUGUUCAGUUCGAGUCCCAGUUGUUCCCCUUCUGAUCCAGCUCCGUGCUGCUGAACCCGGGAAAGCAGUAGAUGAGAGAGAGAGAGAUCUUCCAUCUACGGGUUCACUCCCCCAAAUGGCCACAACAACCAGGGCUGGGCCAGGCUGAAGUCAGAAGCCAAGAGCUCCAUCCAGGUCUCUCCAGCAUGGGUGGCAGGAGACCCAAGCACUUGAACCAUCAUCUUCUGCUUUCCCAGGCACAUAAACAGGAAGCUGCACUGGAAGUGGAGCAACCCGGGGCUCCAGCUGGCACUUGGAGAUGAGAUGCCGGCACUGCAAGCGACGCUGAACCUGCUGUGCCGUAAUUCCAGCCUCUCUGGGGCAUUCUUUUGCCAAAACAUCAUUUACCAUUCAUCCAAAUUUCAUUUUUUAAUGAGGCCUACUGCAUUGUCCCAGACGAUCCUAUGUGUGUGCUCACAGAAGAGUUUGAAGCAGGGAGACCACUUGGGCAGAUGAACAUUUUGGGAAGCCCUCAGGAGCGGUGGGAAAAUGGACCGGAAGGAGACCAGGAGGAGGCCGGGGGUGCGGUUCCUGCUAUCGCGCAGGCCAGGGAGCAGAUGAGGCUUCCCCACUGGGCUGUGGGGGCAUCUUAUCAUGUCUGCCGACUCUUCUGCCUCCUCCACUGGGCAGGUGGCCUUGGAGAGACGCCUCAGCUGAUGAAGUCCCCGGGGACCGCACACCAGAGACGGCAACCUUCACCCAGAGGAGGACUCGUGAGAUGACAGCCGAGGAUAAAGUGUUGAUGCUCAAGCCAGGCAGAGGGAAUGCAAUUAACAAGCAAGAACUGCUGUGGAUGCUGCUGUUGGUGGUGUUAUU